rnacentral:rRNA from 1 species
UACGUAGGGACCAAGCGUUGUUCGGAUUUACUGGGCGUAAAGGGCGCGUAGGCGGCAUGACAAGUCACUUGUGAAAUCUCCGGGCUUAACUCGGAACGGCCAAGUGAAACUGUCAAGCUAGAGUGCAGAAGGGGCAAUCGGAAUUCUUGGUGUAGCGGUGAAAUGCGUAGAUAUCAAGAGGAACACCUGAGGUGAAGACGGGUUGCUGGGCUGACACUGACGCUGAGGCGCGAAAGCGUGGGGAGCAAACAGG